AGGGACAGUUGUUAAAAUUUAUCCGGGUGUUUAUGAAUUGCAUUCCUAAGGUAAACAAUUAGUUGAUGUCUUUGUUGAGCCAAAAGUAAGCAGAUGAUGUAAAUGAAUUCAAUCAGUUGAAAAAUUGAAACUUGAAGUGAUAAUUCACUUUAGAAUUGCUAGUAGUUCAUAGAUGAUGUAAUUUCUUUCCUCAUUCAAGAAAGUGAAAAAUAUCAAUGUGG
rnacentral:misc_RNA from 1 species